UACGUAGGUGGCGAGCGUUAUCCGGAAUUAUUGGGCGUAAAGAGCGCGCAGGUGGUUGAUUAAGUCUGAUGUGAAAGCCCACGGCUUAACCGUGGAGGGUCAUUGGAAACUGGUCGACUUGAGUGCAGAAGAGGGAAGUGGAAUUCCAUGUGUAGCGGUGAAAUGCGUAGAGAUAUGGAGGAACACCAGUGGCGAAGGCGGCUUCCUGGUCUGCAACUGACACUGAGGCGCGAAAGCUAGGGUAGCAAACGGGGAUUAGAUACCCCCGUA
rnacentral:rRNA from 1 species